CCAUAGCGGAGGAAAAGAAACCAACCGGGAUUGCCUUAGUAACGGCGAGUGAAGCGGCAAAAGCUCAAAUUUGAAAUCUGGUACCUUUGGUGCCCGAGUUGUAAUUUGGAGAGGGCAACUUUGGGACCGUUCCUUGUCUAUGUUCCUUGGAACAGGACGUCAUAGAGGGUGAGAAUCCCGUGUGGCGAGGAGUGCGGUUCUAUGUAAAGUGCCUUCGAAGAGUCGAGUUGUUUGGGAAUGCAGCUCUAAGUGGGUGGUAAAUUCCAUCUAAAGCUAAAUAUUGGCGAGAGACCGAUAGCGAACAAGUACAGUGAUGGAAAGAUGAAAAGAACUUUGAAAAGAGAGUGAAAAAGUACGUGAAAUUGUUGAAAGGGAAGGGCAUUUGAUCAGACAUGGUGUUUUGCGCCCUCUGCUCCUUGUGGGUGGGGGAAUCUCGCAGUUCACUGGGCCAGCAUCAGUUUUGGUGGCAGGAUAAAUCCGUAGGAAUGUAACUUGCUUCGGGAAGUAUUAUAGCCUAUGGGAAUACUGCCAGCUGGGACUGAGGACUGCGACGUAAGUCAAGGAUGCUGGCAUAAUGGUUAUAUGCCGCCCGUCUUGAACA
rnacentral:rRNA from 1 species